ACACGCAUGACACACUGCAUAUCAAUAAGCGGAGGAAAAGAAACUAACUAGGAUUCCCUUAGUAACGGCGAGUGAAGCGGGAAGAGCUCAAAUUUGAAAUCUUCAAGGUUCUACCUUGACGAAUUGUAGUUUAAAGAAGUGUUUUCUGUUGGAGUUUUGGUAAAAGUUCUUUGGAAUAGGACAUCAUAGAGGGUGAGAAUCCCGUAUUUGACCAUUUCUUCCAGCUGUGUGAUACACUUUCAAAGAGUCGGAUUGUUUGGGAAUGCAGUCCAAAAUGGGUGGUAAAUUUCAUCUAAAGCUAAAUAUUGGCGAGAGACCGAUAGCGAACAAGUACCGUGAGGGAAAGAUGAAAAGAACUUUGAAAAGAGAGUUAAACAGUACGUGAAAUUGUCAAAAGGGAAGCGUUUGACACCAGUGUUGUUUUUCCGAAAAUCAAUUACGAAUGUUUUAUUUUUGAGGAGUUAUGACUUCAUCGGCUUGCUUCUCUUCUUUAUGGAAACUUUCUUAAUGCACUUUUCGGUUAACAAGUCAACAUCAAUUUCUUUUGUUGUAAAAGAGUAUGAGGAAGGUGGCUUUCUUUUCGGAGAAAGUGUUUAUAGCCUUGUACUUCUGCAAUCGGAGAGAUUGAGGUCUGCAGCGUAGAUCCUUCGGGGUUAGAUACAUUUGUGCUAAGUUAUAGCUUUUCAUAGACAACUUGUUGACUAUGUUUAGUCUUGUAGCUUACUCGCUUAUGCUAUUUUACCUACGCUUAGGAUGUUGAAGAUGUAGCACAUCAU
rnacentral:rRNA from 1 species